rnacentral:tRNA from 1 species
GGGCUUGUAGCUCAGUGGUAGAGCGCGUGAUUUGCAUCCUCGUGAUUCUUCAACGAGUCAAUCCUUCCCGAGGUCUGGGGUUCAAUCCCCCACAAGUCCA